GCUGGAUGUGGUGGCACGUGCCUAUACUCCCAGCUACUCAGGAGUCUGAGGCAGGAGGAUCACCUGAGCCUCGAGAGCCAGAGGUGGAGGCUGCAGUGAACUCUGAUUGUACCACUGCACUUCAGCCUAGGUGACAGGGUGAGACCCUGCCUUAAAACAAACAAACAAACAAAAAAUAGGCCAAAUUCUCAUCAAAACUCUGAAAAAUAGCAUGUGCAUUGGUCAUUUCUAGCCCUCUUGACUUACUGUAGGUGUGAUCAGCACUGGAAAAGAUGCCUGCCCCUGCUGCCACAUAUGAAAGAGUAGUUUACAAAAACCCUUCCGAGUACCACUACAUGAAAGUCUGCCUAGAAUUUCAAGAUUGUGGAGUUGGACUGAAUGCUGCACAGUUCAAACAGCUGCUUAUUUCGGCUGUGAAGGACCUGUUCGGGGAGGUUGAUGCCGCCUUACCUUUGGACAUCCUAACCUAUGAAGAGAAGACCUUGUCAGCCAUCUUGAGAAUAUGUAGCAGUGGUCUUGUCAAAUUGUGGAGCUCUUUGACCCUGUUAGGAUCCUAUAAAGGCAAAAAAUGUGCUUUCCGGGUGAUUCAGGUUUCUCCAUUUCUCCUUGCAUUAUCUGGUAAUAGUAGGGAACUAGUAUUGGACUGAAUGAAUA
rnacentral:sRNA from 1 species